rnacentral:lncRNA from 1 species
UGAGUCUUUUACAUGUAUCCAUAAACUGCAGAUAUGCACAUCAGAUCCCUGCGAGCAUUUUCAAAAUUAAAUUAUUUUAGACAACAGGCACAUAUGCAAUACUGACAUAAUCUCAAAUACCACUAAGCAGCUGGGACACAUUUUUGUUGCCCAUACUCGCAGGUAAAAUAAGUACAUCGUGUGGACAGCUCCAGCUCAUUUUCCUUUAAUCAGUGUGUACAAGGGGUAUGCAAAAAUAAUUUUUUUCUCGCGCACCGAUUAUUUUGCUGUAUAAGCAAGAGAACCCACCACGUUAGUGUAACGUAUCUUGUACAUCACACUAAUAUGUGCUUUAAUUUACCAAGUGAGAUGAGUUACCUUUAUGGCUCAUUCAGUCAUAUCACGCUGCAAGCUGCAUUCAUCAAUCUUCAAUUGGAUUUUGCAAAUGUUUAAUGAAACAUGUUUCCCUUCUAUGCAGAUAUGCAAUGGCAAGCCCUUCCGUGUGUUCCAAAGACAAUGCCUACGCCUAGCCACAGCAGCUCCCUCAUACAGACUCCGCAAGCCAAGAGGCCGUGGAGGCAAAUGCAGGCAGCCAGCACACCUCGAACAGCCACCUUGACUGCGGGUGUGUCACCCUAGUCGCCAAGGAAACAUUUGAGGGAAAGCGACAGGCAAUGUGAACAGCCACUUCUCCAUGCAAACGAUACUCUUUCUCUCGGAUGACUCCUACGCCUCGCCACGCCAGCACUCUUGUGCACAAAGAUGCCGCGGAGGCACGUGCAGGUCAGAGGCAAGAAUCAGUGGCACUGGUGUCGACAUUCACCUAAUUUCUUUUUCUUACACUGAGGCAGUCAGCACACCUCGAACAGCCACCUUGACUGCGGGUGUGUCAGUAGAUUCCUGUUGUACAUAUGCUCAUAAUAAACUUUAGUAAACUUGAACUUGAUAAUAAACUUGAUGGCAAAUGGGA